GUUCUCCGUAUCGACGAUAGAUCCAUAAGGAAGGUCGUCCCGUGGCCUUUGAAGAUCCUUGUGAUCGUUGUAGUUAUAAUCAUCAUUGUUAUCUCCGCUGUUGCCGUUAUAAUAAAUACUCUCAAACCCUUGUCUUUGUUCUUGCCCUAGCUUAACGUUGUUCUUGGUUUCUAGUGGAUCUCGAUCUUCUUCUUGUUGAAAGUAUAAGUCGUGAAACUGAUAAUCUUUGUAAGAUAUGUAGGAGAAUGGAUCUUGUGGGUAAACAACAGCCUCUAAGGCCAUAAUUAGCUACAAAUUUUGAAAGGGGUCGGAGCAAGAGAGAGAGAGGAAGAAAAGAAAGACAGAAAGUGUUUGUCUUUCUCUUUUUUGUCUCGUGAGGGAGACAAGGCAAAAGCAAAAUUGAAGAAGAAAGGAAAGAGAGAAAAGAUACAAGAAGGUCAAACAAAGUUGUGGUUUGGAUCGAUGGAAGAGAGAAGAAGCUUGUGAGGUUUAUAAAGCUGACAUAUAUAUAUUUAAAAAAGAACAGAAUAAGUCUCAAAGAAAAUCCAAACCAGUUGAGUUAUGAAAAGUAUAAGAUAUAGAGAGAGGUGUUAUAUGGUUUGUUUUGCACGUGAGAUUAUAGACCGGUCUAAAAACCAAAGAAAAGAUUCUGCGUGUUUUUGCAGGCUUUGGGUUUCGUCUAGUUACACUCAUGUUCCAGGAGAGAGAACUAUAACAAGUUGCAGUCUCAAACUUUAUACGUUGCUAUGAAUUAAUGUUUUUUGCCGUA